rnacentral:rRNA from 1 species
CCCGACUGCUAUUUGGGUGAGGAUAAGCCAUGCGAGUUGAAUGGGAUACCCAAAGUUCCCAUGGCAAACUGCUCAGUAACACAUGAUCAACUUACCCUAUAGAAAAAAAUAACCUCGGGAAACUGAGGAUAAUAUUUCAUAGUUGAAUUGGCUUGGAAAAGUUUUUCGACGAAAAGGGUAAAAAGAAUGGUUUUUAUCUGCUAUAGGAUAGGAUCGUGUUCGAUUAUGGUUGUUGGUGAGGUAAUGGCUCACCAAGCCGAUAAUCGAUAGGGGCCGUGAGAGCGGGAGCCCCGAGAUGGGUACUGAGACAACGACCCAGGCCUUACGAGGCGCAGCAGGCGCGGAACCUCCGCAAUACACGAAAGUGUGACGGGGUUACCCAAAGUGUUCAAUUUUGAACUGUGGUAGGUGAGUAAUGUUCCCUACUAGAAAGGAGAGGGCAAGGCUGGUGCCAGCCGCCGCGGUAAAACCAGCUCUUCAAGUGGUCGGGAUAAUUAUUGGGCUUAAAGUGUCCGUAGCCGGUUUAGUAAGUUCCUGGUAAAAUCGGGUAGCUUAACUAUCUAUAUGCUAGGAAUACUACUAUACUAGAGGGCGGGAGAGGUCUGAGGUACUACAGGGGUAGGGGUGAAA